GUUGAUGGAGGUGACAUCUUGCUAGAGAGAAUUCAUGUCCAGAAAGCAUUUGAGAGGUGUUUCUGUAUUGUGUCGGGUUGGUGAUUGAAACUUACCUGCACAGACCCUUCUUGAGUCCUGCGAUCUGCACACCCUGCUUUCUGCUUGCUCCUCCCCCUCACCAUUUUCAUCUUAUUGAAGGUGCUGGGAUUAAAAGUGUGUGCUACCACUGCCUGGCCUCUAUACUUAACUAAUCUCUAACGAGAACAAGGAUUGAAAGUUGUUACUUCAAU